CAUAUACUAAUGGGUGCGAUCAUACCAGCACUAAUGCACCGGAUCCCAUCAGAACUCCGCAGUUAAGCGUGCUUGGGCGAGAGUAGUACUAGGAUGGGUGACCUCCGGGAAGUCCUCGUGUUGCACCUUUUUUUGUUCCUCUUGAUUCUAUUAUUUUUUUUUUUUUUUUGUCUUUUCAUUUCAAAAACAAGGCAUCUUCCGAAGGACGCUAUUUCUAAACCGUGUGGAACCACGCCUCCUACAAAACCUUUUCGGAAAGCCCCUAGAGUGCUCUCGGGCUUGCCCAGGAGUCUAAAGUCCAAUGGUGCGGUUUACGAGGCCAAAAUUUGAGUUUUAGACCCUCUUCCGGGCGUUUUUCUAAAACAUAAGCCCCGGUUUUAGUGUCGUCAAACGUGGUGUCCUAACUUAUAUAUCUUGGCACGAAUGCUCGUCGCAGCUGGGCGGGAAAACCCAUAUAAACAGUGCAACACACGCGAAGAGAUUUCAUUGCGGACUCAAAGCCAAAGGAUAUAUGCUAAUGCGAUACAUAUACUGAUGGGUGUGAUCAUACCAGCACUAAUGCACCGAAUCCCAUCAGAACACCGCAGUUAAGCGUGCUUGGGCGAGAGUAGUACUAGGAUGGGUGACCUCCCGGGAAGUCCUCGUGUUGCACCUUUUUUUGUUCCUCUUGAUUCUUUUGUUUUUUUUUUUUUGUCUUUUCAUUUGAAAAACAACGCAUCUUCCGAACGACGCUAUUUCUAGACCGUGUGGAACCAGGCCUCCUACAACAACUUUUCGGAAAGCCCCUAGAGUGCUCUCAGGCUUGCCCAAGAGUCUAAAGACCAAGGGUGCGGUUUACGAGGCCAAAAUUUGAGUUUUAGACCCUCUUCUGGGCGUUUUUCUAAAACAUAAGCCCCGGUUUUAGUGUCGUCAAACGUGGUGUCCUAACUUAUAUAUCUUGGCACGAAUGCUCGUCGCAGCUGGGCGGGAAAACCCAUAUAAACAGUGCAACACACGCGAAGAGAUUUCAUUGCGGACUCAAAGCCAAAGGAUAUAUGCUAAUGCGAUACAUAUACUGAUGGGUGUGAUCAUACCAGCACUAAUGCACCGAAUCCCAUCAGAACACCGCAGUUAAGCGUGCUUGGGCGAGCGUAGUACUAGGAUGGGUGGCCUCCCGGGAAGUCCUCGUGUUGCACCUUUUUUUGUUCCUCUUGAUUCUUUUGUUUUUUUUUUUUUUUUGUCUUUUCAUUUGAAAAACAACGCAUCUUCCGAAGGACGCUAUUUCUAGACCGUGUGGAACCAGGCCUCCUACAACAACUUUUCGGAAAGCCCCUAGAGUGCUCUCAGGCUUGCCCAAGAGUCUAAAGACCAAGGGUGCGGUUUACGAGGCCAAAAUUUGAGUUUUAGACUCUCUUCUGGGCGUUUUUCUAAAACAUAAGCCCCGGUUUUAGUGUCGUCAAACGUGGUGUCCUAACUUAUAUAUCUUGGCACGAAUGCUCGUCGCAGCUAGGCGGGAAGCCCAUAUAAACAGUGCAACACACGCGAAGAGAUUUCAUUGCGGACUCAAAGCCAAAGGAUAUAUGCUAAUGCGAUACAUAUACUAACGGGUGCGAUCAUACCAGCACUAAUGCACCGGAUUCCAUCAGAACCCCGCAGUUAAGCAUGCUUGGGCGAGAGUAGUCCUAGGAUGGGUGACCUCCCGAGAAGUCCUCGUGUUGCACCCCUUUUUUGUUCCUCUUCAUUUCUUUGUUUUUUUUUUUUGGUCUUUUCAUUUGAAAAAAACAAUGCAUCUUCCGAACGACGCUAUUUCUAGACCGUGUGGAACCACGCCUCCUACAACAACUUUUCGGAAAGUCCCAAGAGUGCUCUCGGGCUUGCCCAACGGUCUAAAGACCAUGGGUGUGGUUUACGAGGCGAAAUUUUGAGUUUUAGACCCUCUUCCGGGCGUUUUUCUAAAACAUAAGCCCCUGUUUUAGUGUCGUCAAACGUGGUGUCCUAACUUAUAUAACUUGGCACGAAUGCUCGUCCCAGCUGGGCAGGAAAACCCAUAUAAACAGUGCAACACACGCGAAGAGAUUUCAUUGCAGACUCAAAGCCAAAGGAUAUAUGCUAAUGCGAUACAUAUACUGAUGGGUGCGAUCAUACCAGCACUAAUGCACCGAAUCCCAUCAGAACACCGCAGUUAAGCGUGCUUGGGCGAGAGUAGUACUAGGAUGGGUGACCUCCCGGGAAGUCCUCGUGUUGCACCUUUUUUUGUUCCUCUUGAUUCUUUUGUUUUUUUUUUUUUUUUGUCUUUUCAUUUCAAAAACAAGGCAUCUUCCGAAGGACGCUAUUUCUAAACCGUGUGGAACCACGCCUCCUACAAAACCUUUUCGGAAAGCCCCUAGAGUGCUCUCGGGCUUGCCCAAGAGUCUAAAGUCCAAUGGUGCGGUUUACGAGGCCAAAAUUUGAGUUUUAGACCCUCUUCCGGGCGUUUUUCUAAAACAUAAGCCCCGGUUUUAGUGUCGUCAAACGUGGUGUCCUA
rnacentral:lncRNA from 1 species